AGCGAACGCUGGCGGCAGGCCUAACACAUGCAAGUCGAACGAACCUUUCGGGGUUAGUGGCGGACGGGUGAGUAACACGUGGGAACGUGCCUUUAGGUUCGGAAUAACUCAGGGAAACUUGUGCUAAUACCGAAUGUGCCCUUCGGGGGAAAGAUCUAUCGCCUUUAGAGCGGCCCGCGUCUGAUUAGCUAGUUGGUUGAGGUAAUGGCUCACCAAGGCGACGAUCAGUAGCUGGUCUGAGAGGAUGAUCAGCCACAUUGGGACUGAGACACGGCCCAAACUCCGACGGGAGGCAGCAGUGGGGAAUCUUGCGCAAUGGGCGAAAGCCUGACGCAGCCAUGCCGCGUGAAUGAUGAAGGUCUUAGGAUUGUAAAAUUCUUUCACCGGGGACGAUAAUGACGGUACCCGGAGAAGAAGCCCCGGCUAACUUCGUG
rnacentral:rRNA from 1 species